GAUCAUGGCUCAGGAUGAACGCUGGCGGCGUGCUUAACACAUGCAAGUCGAACGAAGCACUCUAUUUGAUUUUCUUCGGAAAUGAAGAUUUUGUGACUGAGUGGCGGACGGGUGAGUAACGCGUGGGUAACCUGCCUCAUACAGGGGGAUAACAGUUGGAAACGACUGCUAAUACCGCGUAAGCGCACAGGAUCGCAUGAUCUGGUGUGAAAAACUCCGGUGGUAUGAGAUGGACCCG
rnacentral:rRNA from 1 species